UGAAUAAACUUGGUGGGUU
rnacentral:rRNA from 1 species